GAGUUUGAUUAUGGCUCAGGGUGAACGCUGGCGGCGUGCCUAACACAUGCAAGUCGAGCGGUGCAGCUGGAGGCUUCGGCCGAAGGCUGCAUAGCGGCGGACGGGUGCGUAACGCGUAGGAACGUGCCCCCUGGAGGCGGAUAGCCGCGGGAAACUGCGGGUAAACCGCCAUAUACUCGGGAGAGUAAAGGCCGUAAGGCGCCAGGGGAGCGGCCUGCGUCCCAUCAGGUAGUUGGUAGGGUAACGGCCUACCAAGCCUACGACGGGUAGCCGGUCUGAGAGGAUGGCCGGCCACAAGGGCACUGAUACACGGGCCCUACUCCUACGGGAGGCAGCAGUGGGGGAUAUUGGACAAUGGGCGGAAGCCUGAUCCAGCGACGCCGCGUGGAGGACGAAGCCCUUCGGGGUGUAAACUCCUUUUGUCGGGGAAAAAGGACUGAUGGUACCCGACGAAUAAGCCCCGGCUAACUACGUGCCAGCAGCCGCGGUAAUACGUACGGGGCGAGCGUUACCCGGAAUCACUGGGCGUAAAGGGUGCGUAGGCGGCCGCGUGUGUCUGGCGUAAAAUACCACAGCUCAACCGUGGGAAUGCGCUGGAAACUACGCUGGCUUGGGUGCGGCACAGGCAUACGGAACUGCUGGUGUAAGGGUGAAAUCCGUAGAUAUCAUCAGGAACGCCGGUGGAGAAGUCGGUCUGCUGGGCCGUAACCGACGCUGAUGCACGAAAGCUAGGGGAGCGAACCGUGAUUAGAUACCCGGGAUAG
rnacentral:rRNA from 1 species